CUGGGGUUCUGUGAUACAGGCCUGGGUUCAACUGAAUUACCACCAGGCUGACCUACGGUCACCUAGUAGCUCCGCGCUCCCUGCUGAGCAGGACAAGGACUGAGAACAUCCAUGGGGGAUGUCACACAGAUGUAACUGGUGGAGGCUGGAGCAGAUGCUGUCAGGUAUGUAGGGAGGAACACUGUCACCCGGCAGCACAGAAGUCCCUGCUGAGCAGGACAAGGACUGAGGACAUCCGCGGAGGAUUUCACACAGAUGUAGCCGGCUAAGGCUGGAGCAGAUGUUGUCAGUGCGGAUGAACCUUGUAAACAGCAGGAACCGAGCAGAUGCUCAGGAUCGACAGACCUGGCCUCUGAGGACAGCAGGAAGCAAAUGAUGAGAGAGGAGUGUGGAGCUGACUGUACAAAUGCAUUCCUGAUCUUGGUCUUGUAAUAAAGGAAACAUCUGUGCUCAUCGCA